AGAGCCUGGCAGCCGCUCUGCGGGGCAACCGGAGCCUCCGCAGCCAUGCGCACGAUCUGCCCCACCGCUGGCUCCGCUGGCUCCAGACAGACUUCGGGACCCUGCUGAAGCCAAGAGCUGAUGUGGCGAGGUAAGGGGCACAAUGCUAAUCACACCCCAACAGUCCCAAAGGUCCACUCGAGACCAGAGCAGAGAUGACCCACUUUCUCACCCAGGGGAAAGAGCCCGCUGGGGCAAUGAGCUGGACACGUUGGCGCCUGGUUUCGCAGCUCAGCUUUAGAGUUGGGGAGCCCCGCGUGAGCAUCCUUAGACUGUACCGACAGUACACAGUGGCCAAGGACAGGAUCCCUGGACCCCAUUCUCACAGCCAGUGGCUGCUCGUCUCCAGCCUCGCGCUGGCCUGGCAGACAGGAACUGGGACAAAUGGAGCAAGCAGAGGGGGGACGCUGGUGAUCGCAGAGGCCGGGGGCGUCCCACGCUGCCAGGGGCGGAGAGGCACACUCCCAAGUGACAUGCGCAGCUGCCUCUCCCGAUGGGCAAGGGCGUCUCACUGGGGAGACGGAAGCCGGGCUGUCCGAGAGCUCUAACCACGAGCCUCCCACUACCGCAAGCGAUAGUCCAUGACCUCUGGGCACCGCCCGAGCCAUGACUCGGUGCUACCAGGUGUGCUGGGGGAGGGGAAGGGACACGGCCAAGCCCAGUGCUUUCCCUUCUGCCCCUGCCACGCUCGGCCUCUGGCCACCGUUAUUCAGCGCGGCGCGAAGCCUGUGGGCCGCUGGAGGCAGCACUUACGGCGACAAUGCGUCCUAGAGCCCAGCGCCCAGCACUCACGCUCCCGCGGCGACCGACGGCACCCGGUGCAAGUUCUGAGCCCGAGGGGCGGAGCCAAAGGGGCAGGGAGCUCAGCGCGCACGGCCGCUCAGCCAAUAGUGACACCAGGAUACGACCCAGGGCGGGGAGGGGCCAGCGCUCCGCCCGCGCGCACCAAUCAGCGCGCAACUCCUCCUGCGCGCUCGGGAACCAAGGGAGGAACCGCUUUGUGUGGAGUCGGCAAAGCCAGCGCGCUAGGGGCGGGGCCCUGCAUCUUCUUGUGUAGGAUGCUUCUCCAGGCUGGAUUUUAUUUUGUUUUUAAUUCCACGGAUGAGCCGGGUUCAGCAGAUCGGGGAACUUUGGAAAACGCAAAGAAACGCUAAUUGAAGCCGCACUGUAACUUCAUCUCUUCAGACUAAAGUAAACAUGGAACUAAAGUCUACCUGCUUCACGGGUCGCUGUGAGAACUGAUGAAGGGACUGUGGAGUCCAGCGCUGCUGCGACGCAAAAACACAACUCUCACCUCAAAGGGGAUCAGAGAUGGCUUAUCCUAGAGCCAAAUAGGAGCGACCCUAGCCCGGGAACACAAAUACAGGUUAUUCCAUGUCCCAACAUGGUAACAGUUUGAUAAAAAUUGUGAAUUAU